GGGAAAGUCUCAAAAGCCUUAGUAAAUGCCGGUGAGCAUGUACUGCAGGACUAACUGAGGAUAACAGAGAGCCGAAGCUCUGUAUAUGCCUAGUUCCACCAGUUAUAUAGUACACACAGCGAUUCACUGAAACAAACUCCAGCCAGCAGAACAUUAUAAGCAGCUUACAGUGUACUCUCCUGUUGUAUUUUUUUAGAGGUACUGGCCCCCUUUCAGGUGGGUGCAGAAUGAAAGCACUCUCAGGUGAAUUUUCCACACCCAGAGUUUAAAGGUCAGACACAAGGUAAUGUAACUCAGAACACUGGCGCCACAGCAGUACACAGAUUAAAUGGAGGGGAUGCUGAUGGGAGAGGGCAGGAGUGGGGGGUAGCUGGAUCUUCAUUUCCUGCUGCCCGGCCAGAUGAACACCACAGAUAUCCAUCGGCACCUCCAACCUGAGACACAUGGCUCCCGCUUACCCUAACCUACACCCACAGGUGACACAAUGAUGUUCUUUGAGUCAGUGAGUCUUACAUGGGAUGGUGGGUUUGGGGGGUGUCUGUGUCCGGCAACGGAAACAGUUCUUAUUGGCUUCUUCUGACUCAAAUUUUAGGCAUAUCUGUGUUGAAUGCUGGAAUGGAAGAAUGCUGACAUCAAUCUUGCAGCACUGCCCCGAUGACCCAUUACCCACCAUGACGGCUGGUCACCCCACUGAAAGGAACUUCGUUAGCAAGCGUGUCCAUGCAGUACUCUGUUGUGACCUGGCCUUGAGGACUUGCCACAAAAACAACAUCUGACUAUACAGUGGAGACACAGCAUGCUUGCUCAACUUGUAUAUGCAUAACAAGAGCAAACUGAAGGGUGAAGAUUGGGAGUUGGACUUUGGGGAGCUUUUCAAGAGCUCAUAUCAAUCACCAGCCUGCAGGAACCUCCACCUCCUCCCCUCUCCCAUCUAGUGCUGCUGAUAGUACUCUUCUGUCAUCUUGCUCCUCUUCCCCCCUCGUAUACCUAGCACAUUUCUUAGCUACAGUUAGACUCACUUCCCUUUUAAUCCAUUUGUGUCCAUGGGAGCUGAAUAGAGGGGUCACUGUGCUCCUUAAGGAAGAGCUCUCCCUUAUGUCAACACUUUUGGCACUCCCCCUCAUUUAUCUGUUUCCCUCUCUCCCUCCUUGUAUAUCUCUCUCUAUCUCUUCAGUGCUAGGCAAACCGGUCCUGCAAGGGGUCAUGUGGUUACCAUAACAAAGAUGGACAGACCUCCUCUGGCUCCCUGGCCCACUGAUAAGGACUGGAACCGUCCAUCUUCGGUUUCUGUGUGUUUGCUUUUCCUGUGCCAGGGUUUUGUGCUCUCCAGCAGCCUUCAAAGCUUUUCUUUCUGCUGUUCUUCUAUCCCUUGGAUUGAAUGGAAAGAACAAAAAAUGUUAUUGCUACAGAAGACAGGAUCUCAUUCCAGGCUCAUGGCAUCUGGAUAGAGUAUAUCUUCAUCCACUAUUAUUAUUGUUACUUUAUUUGUUAUUCAGCAUGGCUCUUUCCACAGCAGCUUACGUUGUGUAUCUCAAAAUUACUGUCAUUUAUUAUGAAACUUUGAAAAUGUGCAGAUGUGUAAAAGUUUCUUUCAAAAAAAGAAAAAACCUCCCCAGAGGAUCCACUGACACACGAACC